AGCGGACCGACGGGAGCUUGCUCCCUUAGGUCAGCGGCGGACGGGUGAGUAACACGUGGGUAACCUGCCUGUAAGACUGGGAUAACUCCGGGAAACCGGGGCUAAUACCGGAUGCUUGAUUGAACCGCAUGGUUCAAUCAUAAAAGGUGGCUUUCAGCUACCACUUACAGAUGGACCCGCGGCGCAUUAGCUAGUUGGUGAGGUAACGGCUCACCAAGGCGACGAUGCGUAGCCGACCUGAGAGGGUGAUCGGCCACACUGGGACUGAGACACGGCCCAGACUCCUACGGGAGGCAGCAGUAGAGAAUCUUCCGCAAUGGACGAAAGUCUGACGGAGCAACGCCGCGUGAGUGAUGAAGGUUUUCGGAUCGUAAAACUCUGUUGUUAGGGAAGAACAAGUACCGUUCGAAUAGGGCGGCACCUUGACGGUACCUAACCAGAAAGCCACGGCUAACUACGUGCCAGCAGCCGCGGUAAUACGUAGGUGGCAAGCGUUGUCCGGAAUUAUUGGGCGUAAAGCGCGCGCAGGCGGUUUCUUAAGUCUGAUGUGAAAGCCCCCGGCUCAACCGGGGAGGGUCAUUGGAAACUGGGGAACUUGAGUUCAGAAGAGGAGAGUGGAAUUCCACGUGUAGCGGUGAAAUGCGUAGCGAUGUGGAGGUACACCAGUGGCGAAGGCGACUCUCUGGUCUGUAACUGA
rnacentral:rRNA from 1 species